AUGGAAAACCAGGCGAAAACCAUCACAACCAUGCUCAAAAGCACGACCCCACAUGUGAACUACUCCCGAAUCAUGGAGCCACGGGACCGAAGCAUCCAACACAUACUACUGCAACCCACAACAUAUGGGUCCCUAUACUGCAAAAGAAAACCAAUCGACAUAAUGCAACUCGAGGAAAACACAUCGACGAAAACCAUCCCCAUGACCGAGCACACAUCUGCAACUCAGAAAGCCGAGAACCAUCCAUCAUGGAACCAUUUGCGCCUCCCCUCUAGCGCUAUCCUUCUUGCUUUUGCUCCUGCAAGAUUUCUCUUUGAGGAUGCCAGAUCUAGAGUUAGCGCCACCCUUCUUGUGCUUCUCCCUCAAAGCUUUUUCCUCCAAGAGGUAUCCAAUCGUCUUUCCAGAAUUUUCAGAGUCCAGGUUGGCUAG
rnacentral:rRNA from 1 species